rnacentral:rRNA from 1 species
UACGUAGGGUGCAAGCGUUAAUCGGAAUUACUGGGCGUAAAGCGUGCGUAGACGGUAGCGUAAGUCAGAUGUGAAAGCCCCGGGCUCAACCUGGGAAUUGCAUUUGAGACUGCUCUGCUCGGGUGCGGAAGAGGGAAGCGGAAUUUCCGGUGUAGCGGUGAAAUGCGCAGAUAUCAGGAGGAACACCGAUGGCGAAGGCAGGUCUCUGGGCCACUACUGACGCUGAGAAGCGAAAGCAUGGGGAGCGAACAGG